GAUGAACGCUGGCGGCGUGCCUAAUACAUGCAAGUCGAGCGAACAGACGAGGAGCUUGCUCCUCUGACGUUAGCGGCGGACGGGUGAGUAACACGUGGAUAACCUACCUAUAAGACUGGGAUAACUUCGGGAAACCGGAGCUAAUACCGGAUAAUAUAUUGAACCGCAUGGUUCAAUAGUGAAAGACGGUUUUGCUGUCACUUAUAGAUGGAUCCGCGCCGCAUUAGCUAGUUGGUAAGGUAACGGCUUACCAAGGCAACGAUGCGUAACCGACCUGAGAGGGUGAUCGGCCACACUGGAACUGAGACACGGUCCAGACGCCUACGGGAGGCAGCAGUAGGGAAUCGUCCGCAAAGGGCGAAAGCCUGACGGAGCAACGCCGCGUGAGUGAUGAAGGUCUUCGGAUCGUAAAACUCUGUUAUUAGGGAAGAACAAAUGUGUAAGUAACUAUGCACGUCUUGACGGUACCUAAUCAGAAAGCCACGGCUAACUACGUG
rnacentral:rRNA from 1 species